rnacentral:rRNA from 1 species
CUAGCAGUCGAGCGAACAGAUAAGGAGCUUGCUCCUUUGACGUUAGCGGCGGACGGGUGAGUAACACGUGGGUAACCUACCUAUAAGACUGGGAUAACUUCGGGAAACCGGAGCUAAUACCGGAUAACAUAUUGAACCGCAUGGUUCAAUAGUGAAAGGCGGCUUUGCUGUCACUUAUAGAUGGAUCCGCGCCGUAUUAGCUAGUUGGUAAGGUAACGGCUUACCAAGGCAACGAUACGUAGCCGACCUGAGAGGGUGAUCGGCCACACUGGAACUGAGACACGGUCCAGACUCCUACGGGAGGCAGCAGUAGGGAAUCUUCCGCAAUGGGCGAAAGCCUGACGGAGCAACGCCGCGUGAGUGAUGAAGGUCUUCGGAUCGUAAAACUCUGUUAUCAGGGAAGAACAAAUGUGUAAGUAACUGUGCACAUCUUGACGGUCCUGAUCAGAAAGCCCGGCUAACUACGUGCCAGCAGCCGCGGUAAUACGUAGGUGGCAAGCGUUAUCCGGAAUUAUUGGGCGUAAAGCGCGCGUAGGCGGUUUUUUAAGUCUGAUGUGAAAGCCCACGGCUCAACCGUGGAGGGUCAUUGGAAACUGGAAAACUUGAGUGCAGAAGAGGAAAGUGGAAUUCCAUGUGUAGCGGUGAAAUGCGCAGAGAUAUGGAGGAACACCAGUGGCGAAGGCGACUUUCUGGUCUGUAACUGACGCUGAUGUGCGAAAGCGUGGRGAUCAAACAGGAUUAGAUACCCUGGUAGUCCACGCCGUAAACGAUGAGUGCUAAGUGUUAGGGGGUUUCCGCCCCUUAGUGCUGCAGCUAACGCAUUAAGCACUCCGCCUGGGGAGUACGACCGCAAGGUUGAAACUCAAAGGAAUUGACGGGGACCCGCACAAGCGGUGGAGCAUGUGGUUUAAUUCGAAGCAACGCGAAGAACCUUACCAAAUCUUGACAUCCUUUGACCGCUCUAGAGAUAGAGUCUUCCCCUUCGGGGGACAAAGUGACAGGUGGUGCAUGGUUGUCGUCAGCUCGUGUCGUGAGAUGUUGGGUUAAGUCCCGCAACGAGCGCAACCCUUAAGCUUAGUUGCCAUCAUUAAGUUGGGCACUCUAAGUUGACUGCCGGUGACAAACCGGAGGAAGGUGGGGAUGACGUCAAAUCAUCAUGCCCCUUAUGAUUUGGGCUACACACGUGCUACAAUGGACAAUACAAAGGGCAGCUAAACCGCGAGGUCAAGCAAAUCCCAUAAAGUUGUUCUCAGUUCGGAUUGUAGUCUGCAACUCGACUACAUGAAGCUGGAAUCGCUAGUAAUCGUAGAUCAGCAUGCUACGGUGAAUACGUUCCCGGGUCUUGUACACACCGCCCGUCACACCACGAGAGUUUGUAACACCCGAAGCCGGUGGAGUAACCAUUUA